rnacentral:misc_RNA from 1 species
GAUGAAGAACGCAGCGAAAUGCGAUAAGUAAUUUGAAUUGCAGAAUUCAGUGAAUCAUCGAAUCUUUGAACGCACAUUGCGCCCGCCAGUAUUCUGGCGGGCAUGCCUGUUCGAGCGUCAUUUCAACCAUCAAGCCCCAGGCUUGUGUUGGGGACCUGCGGCUGCCGCAGGCCCUGAAAACCAGUGGCGGGCUCGCUGUCACACCGGGCGUAGUAGAUUUUAUCUCGCUCAGGGCGUGCUGCGGGUUCCGGCCGUUAAAAAGCCUUUUUUACCCAAGGUUGACCUCGGAUCAGGUAGGAAGACCCGCUGAACUUAAGCAUAUCAAUAAGCGGAGGA